GGACGUGAGGACCAUCUGGCUGCGACAUCUGUCACCCCACUGAUCGCCAGAGUUGAUUCGGCUGAUCUGGCUGGCUAGGCAGGUUUCCCCUUCCUCCCUCACUGCUCCAUGUGCAUCCCUCCCGAAGCUGCGCACUCUGUCGAAGAGGACAGCCUUCCCCGAAUAGAGACGGACCAGUCUUCGGUCGAGGGUAUGUAAGUAGCUGCGCUCCCCUGCUAGAACCUCCAAACAAGCUCUCAAAAUAAGAUGAAGAAUGUGACUUCUUCAUAAUAACUGAGCAGUAUUUCAUUGUAUGUAUACAUCACAA
ensembl:misc_RNA 7SK 7SK RNA